GCCUUAAAGGAGCCGCUACACGCUUUCUGGCCAUUUUCCCCUGACAGCGGCUUCGGAGAUGGCUGUGACUGUCCUAAGCUGGGAGCUGCAAGGGAGAAUUCCUGUCAUUCCUGGCCUCAGCUCUGCAGGGACCGAGGGCGAGGCACGCCUGGGCCUAGGUGUGGCGUCUCUGUCCCCAUCUGGUUUUAGGCGUGUUACACCUCCACACGCAUUAGGGAUCCAGCUUUCCUGAAGACAUGAACCAUUUACCCCAGACAAAAUAUGACCAACACAGAUUCCUGCUUACAAUUUCCGUGGGCAGGUUGGCCACCUGUAGCUCAUCCCUAGCACUGAUCUAAGUCCCUCAAAUAGAGUUCAUGUGCAUCCCCACGACUGCCA